UUUUCCCUUCUUCCCACCGACACUUUUGAAGACCCCUUUCCUCUCUCUUCCCUCUACGACUCUCUGAACAUCAUAUCUUCAUGAAUGAAGAUACCGACAUAUGAAGAUAUCUCUUUCAUAUCUUCAUGAAUGAAGAUAUUCCUGACCAAAGAGUUAUGAAGAUAUCUCUUUCAUAUCUUCAUGAAUGAAUUACCAAUCUUACCAUAUGUAACAGAUGAGAUAAAUAAUAAACAGUUCCUUUACCCCCGAGGACGUAGGCUUUGCCGAACUACGUUAUAUCUUGUGUUCAAUUGCUUAUUUACAUUUCUCUGCAUCUCAAUUUCGUUUUAUGAUUUCGAUCCAUAUUUGGUCUUUUAGGUUUGUUUUAUCAUUUCAUUAUUUGGUUGUGCUAUCAAUUAAUGGCAGUAACAACUUGAAUGAGUUUCCAUUUGUAUACUCAAUUGGUUUGAUCCCAUUCGGUUUAUAUAUUUUCUGACAGCCGUUAGAUUUUUUUUCUCAAAUAUGAGUUUGCACUGGCAAGUUUUAGAUGUUAUUUUGUUCUCCAUAAAAUUAAUAACAAUCUAAGAAUUGAGUAUUUUUCACGAGCGAACCUCACUGAAAUUUGAUAUUCAGGGAAAAGGUACGACAACAGUCGAACUCUGCAACAAGGUAACAAUCAUGUGCGAGUCUGACUUAGUGUGACCCAGUGAGUGACCAGAUCCAAUUCAUACCAAACCUGCCCUCCCUGGUCGAGUUAAUAUUCUGGUUAGGUUAGAAUCAAAUAUAUCAUUGUUCUCUUAUUCUCUGGUGAGUUAAAUUCUGGUUACAUUCAUUAUUCUCUUAUUCUUUACGAGAAAAGUCAGUUGAUCCAUACUUUUGAGGACAUUAUGGUGAAGAUACAUUUCCUAGAUGCUGAUGCUAUCAAUAUCAAGGUAUGGUGAAGAUGCAUUCUUGGCCGACUGUUAAGCUAAUUUGAAGAACCUCAAAUGGCUGGGAAUGAAGUGAUGUUUCGAUUCAUGACUAUUACUGCCAAACAACUUUGGGUAUAUCAGUUGCCCAAGCGGUAAGCUAUAAUUGUCCGGCUAUUUUUUUAAUUUUUUUUUUCUCGUUAUAAAUAUGCCAUGGGUGAUCGACUUUACCGGGUGUAAGUUAGUUUUCCUUUCUUCUCUAUUUUCUUUUCUAGAGAAAAAAAAAAUCCAUCACCGAGUGAUUUGUAGUUUCUAUCUCUCUAAUGAAACCGUAAUCAUCAAGAAUUGGUAUUAUCGUAAUUUGAUAACCUUCACGAUAUUAUCGUAAUUUGAAAAAACUACGUCCAAUUUAAUCGACAUCUUUGCCAAUUAGACAAAGAUCAUGUGAUUAAUGGUUUCUAUUAUUUUAUUUUUUUGCAAGAAACCAUCAGUCAGCUGACUAUGUGAUAUUGAAAAUGAUAAUAUUUUUUUAAAAUUUGUCGACACAAUUUUGUUAAUGAUUUCUUUAUUUUUCUCAAAAGAAUCAUUUAAGUAAUUGCAUUUGAUUUUAUCCGUCGAUUAUAUAUGGAUUUGAUAUUGUUAUUACAGUAUAAGCUAAUUGCAAACACCAAUUGUUGAAUUCCCGAGGGAUGUUGUGCAAAUUUUCUUCUUCCUAAUACUAAUCUCCUAAAUUAAGACCGUUCAACUUGAUGUUGAAAUAUGGUAGGACACAAAAUAUCAAUGAGUGCGCAUCCGGCUUAUUAGCCAAUAUUAUUAGUCCUUGUAGUGACUAUAUUGAUCUUGAAUUUAAUUUAUUUUGAAAAAUAAAGUGUCCACAAUCUCAUGUCGUUGAGGUCAUGGAAUUAUUUGGAGAUUUAUUUGCAUAUUUUAUAUCUUUUUGGUUGUAACCAAUAAAAUCCAUGUUUCGUUCAAUUGUAUUUCAAGUGGAUUACAUUUUUUCGAAUAAUUUUUAAUGAUUCUUGGAGUCAGUAUCUACUGUCCAACCCGGUAUUGUUAAAAUCCAGAAAUUAUUCUAAGUAUUAUCGAAUUAAUCGGACAAUACUUUACGAAACUUGAUUUCGUAUAUGAGAUACAACUAUUACCACCAUAAUUAGGAGGAGACUAUAUACACUAUCAAAAGCUGAUGUUAAUUAACUUUAAAAGUUAUAUCAAUUUCUCUCCCAAUAAAUCAAAUCGAUAAAUGCUGCCAUUAAAUAAUAGGCGUGAAAAUGUCUCCUUUAGCUUUUCCAUAAGCUUAUUAUAUGACAUUUGAAAAGUAAAAUCCAAUCACUUCUAACAAGCAUGUAGCAUUUUAGUACAAUCUAGAUAGUGCUCUGAUAGAGUCUAUCAUAAUAUGAUUCCAUUCUCAUCAUUCAUAUCUCUUCAUUUGAAUAAUAGGAGAUUAUAACGCACGUGGGCGCUGGUACGAGUAAAUUUUGAAAUUAUCUUUUGAAAUAAUAAAUGAUGGUGGUUGUGAACCCCGACCUCUGCAGAGGAAUAUCGACAUAUGUGAUUGGUUGGCAUACAAUCCAAAUUAGAUUGAAUUCAUAUAAUUUCUCGAUUAACGCAAUUUUGGAUCCAAGACUUAACACCUUAAAAUUUCCAAGCCUAUUACUUACAGGUUGGUGUAGUCAUAAUGCGUUAUAGGAGAAAUAAGUUCGUUGUAUAAACGAUUUGAGGGUUUUUCUUUUUGCUCAAACCCUAGGAUUGGUUCCAUAAAUGUUCUUCUUAUAUGACACAUUUGGCGAGGUAGUCCUUGAAGGACUCGUAUGUAGUAGGGGAACAUAUCCAGAUUUGUGAUCCUCUUGGAAUAUUCAAAUUAUAUUCAGGCAGCCACCUGACUUGAUUAUGUCAGGGUUAGCAAUCCUUAAUGUGUUUUUUUAAAAUUUUGUACAAAACCAAAAAUCCGGAUUAGUUGUUUGAUGAUAUCAACUUUAUAGGUCUUUUGAGGAGUCCUUAAAAACACCAAAAUCCACACUUUUGCAGUAUAAGUUCUAUUUUCUUUUCUUUAUUAAAUCUGCAGUUAGAAUUAUGCUAGCAUAAACUCGUCUUUCAGAUAGACUAGAGUUAUUAUUUUGAUGCUUGUUUUAUGUAAUACUCAUAUAGAUGAGUUAGCAUCCAUAAAUCGUCAAAAGUUGUACUCUUUUCCCUUCGUUUCAGGUUUUUUCCCAUGUGGUUUUCCUGACAAGGUUUUAACGAGGCAACAUCUCGCAAACGAUGAAUUUUUAUCCAAAACGUUGAUAUUGUUCGCUUUUUCCCUCGUCCAGAUAUUUUUUUCCCAUUGGGUUUUAAUGCAAAGGUUUUAGUGAGGCAAUUUAUUCAACAUGUUGGUCAUCCAAGGGGGAGUUGUAUAAUUUAUGUUAUUUGGUGGAUUCCCACUAUUAACUAGGUCAUUUUAUUAGGCCAAAUCAACAUAACAAGCCCUUAGUAAUUUGGAAGUCAUUCCGAUCCACAUAAGGUAUGACCAAAAAUUCACUUUUGUUCACUUAUGGUAAUUUAUAUACAUCUUGGCUCUAUGUUGAAGAAACUACAUCAACAACUUCUGCAAAUCAUCUCGGGAAGCUAGCAAUCCAUGGCACAAGUUCUCAAAUGUGUUGAAGAAGAAUGUGGACUCCGCAAAAGUAUUAUCCAAGGCAUUAUUGCUUGUGCAACACAAAUGAAGACUUCAUCAACUAUCUGAAAUCUUCAUGAAAGCACAGUCCUCUUCUGCAUUCAAGAAAUUCAUUCUUCAAAAUUGGAAAGUCUCGACUCAAAGAUUUGCACGCCAUGAUUUGACCGAAGUAUUUAUCGCCAUCAUCAAAUUAAGAUGAGAAAAGGGAUCUUGCUUUCUUCUUUGGUGGAGAAGAACAACAGGUAUAAUCAGAGAUGUUGAGAUUUGUACAGUGCAAUCAUAACAAGGAUCCAAAUGUCAAAGAUAAUUUACAAGGUGUGAAGACUUAUAUAUUACUGCCCAUCGGAAUAGAAGGAAAUACACCACCAUCCUAAAGUACGCCACUAUAUGAUUCACGUUGUGAAUGUCUUCCAAUUGUUCAGAGCUAAUACUCCUGUCUUUUUGUUAAUGAUAAUGUGCUGGAUACUUCGAUGGAAGGAAAUUUUGCAAGCAAGUGUUUCUCUUUUUAGUGCUAAGGUAUUCGGGUUUAAUUUGUAUAUGAGAAAUGGUCUAUUUAGUACAAAGAUGUUCGUUGUGAAAAAAAAUAAAAAUGUAACUUCUAAAAUGAUAAUUUGUACUAAAUUAUUUUUAUUUUA